CCGGCAGUCCCCGCUCCCUCCCGCGCCCUUUUUGCCUCUCGCGCUGGGCUCCCUCCUGCGCCCCCCCCGCCCCUGCCCCGGGCAUCCUCUCUACCUCCAGUGCCCAGUUCCCUGCGGAGCGGAGCGCGCGCUCGCCUUAGCGGGGAGGGGACCUCGGCGUUCUCCCGGCGCCCGAGCGUCUCCGACAGUCUGUCCGCCGGGGUUGGAGGAGUUUGGCUGCGAGGUUGUUUCUCGGAUCCGGCAGCCUUGCAGAGUGUGUGUAAAACCCUUCCCCCGUCAAGAGGGGACCCAGCCAGCCUGCGCCCUGCCAGCUCGGGGGACCGGAGGCGGGUGUUAGUGGUUAGGGGAAACUUUCCAGCAGAGCGCCUUGCUGGAGCAAACGGCGCAUCUGUCAAGAACGCUUUCUGGGCGCUCUUGCAAGGAGCUUCCGUUGUUCCAGUGCAGUAGACGCAGAAAGGAAGCGAAGGUUUGUGCAUCUGACAGCUAACGCUGAGGACCAGUUGGAAAAUCACACACUCCUCAGCCCCAGCUAAUGAAUAUACCACUACAGAUCAUGACAUAAAGCAGAAAAAUCUUCAUUCUGUGCAAAACCAAGGGUGGCAAAGAAGGCAGCUUCCAAUCAGUGGAAAUUGAAUAAUUGAAUAAAUGUGUUCUUUUUUAAAAGUGAGAGAUGUAGUAAAGAAUCUAAUUUGGACAGGGCAAGCAGAAUGACUCCUUAAGAGUUCACACUAAAGAUGGCUCCCCGAUUAAGUGGCAUCCAGACCCUGGUGAGAAUAGUCACCUUUGUUGUAGGAUUGCAGCCGGCCACAAAGUCACGAGUGCCACCAGCUGAAUGUGGUCCCAUCAAGUUCCUGUGUGGGCUGAAUUGCAGCAGGCUCUGUGAAAGGGAUCGGGAGGGUGCAGGAGAUCUUUUCCGAGGCGAGAGAUCUUCACGAUCUUGGGCAGUCUGCCUUGGCCUUGAGUGCUCACGGAGAUGGUAAACCACAAGCUCUGUGCCUAUUGGGCCAAUGAGGAACACGGGGAAGGCUGACCUUCGAUGAGCCCUAGAGUCAUCUUGGCAUCUUGGCAUCACCACAACACACUGGGGUCACCAUUGCACAGGCUGUGAAGGAAUGGGGGAGGGAUGGCAUCUGUUGAACAUAGGAGGCUUUUUGACCUUUCAGAUCAACUGUAGGUUUCAGCCAGCUGGCGGUCACCUCCUAUUUGCCUCUGUGUUAAAAACUCCAUUAAAAAAAAAAAGAACAACAAAAAACCCAGAGCUGUUGUAAAUGUGCCCCGAAUUCACAUUAAAGGCACUCAAAUAUGAGCAAAGAAUUGUCAAGGGCUGUGAUGUCCUAUCUCACUGUCCCUCCAGCCUUGUGAUUGGGGCCAAGACCUACUGCUCUGGAAGUGAUCAACUAGACUCAUUCUACCUCGUCAUUUCAGAGCCUGCAUGAAUAUGCAUCUUGUGGAAAUUGACACUUGAAAGAUUAAGGGUUGUUUUCUUUUUUUUUUUGAGGUUACACUGUACUGAGGUUGAAGUAAAUCUUCACAUCUGAUCUUGUGUGUGUGUGUGUGUGUGUGUGUUUAAACUCAAAACCACAAUAACUCUGGCAUGGUUUUUAGACAUGAGCAGUACCACGAUAUCCUGUGUAAUAAGCAAAAGAAAUAAACAAGAGAAAUAUGGUCUCCUUAGAA